AUUGAACGCUGGCGGCAGGCAUAACACAUGCAAGUCGAACGAGUGGCGGACGGGUGAGUAAUGUCUGGGAAACUGCCCGAUUGAGGGGGAUAACUACUGGAAACGGUAGCUAAUACCGCAUACAAUCGGAUGUGCCCAGAUGGGAUUCGCUAGUAGGGGGGUUAACGGCUCAACUAGGCGACGAUCCCUAGCUGGUCUGAGAGGAUGACACGCCACACUGGAACUGAGACACGGUCCAGACUCCUACGGGAGGCAGCAGUGGGGAAUAUUUCACAAUGGGCGCAAGCCUGAUGCAGCCAUGCCGCGUGUAUGAAGAAGGCCUUCGGGUUGUAAAGUACUUUCAGCGAGGAGGCGUUACUCGCAGAAGAAGCACCGGCUAACUCCGUGCCAGCAGCCGCGGUAAGAC
rnacentral:rRNA from 1 species